GUGUAUAAAGUGUAAACUUGAGAUAGCUACUGUUGUGUUCUAAGCACUACAAGGAGAAUAAUGUAACAUGAUGAAGCUUGUAUUUUACAUUACUGAGUCACAGCAGUGAAGGCUAACUGCUGCUCUCACGAGUUCCAUUUAAAAUUGUACUGUAUAAAUCUAAGAUUGCGGAACAGAGAGGUUACAACAAGCUAAAAAUCCAUCCAGCCUAAGGGAAGCUGUAAAUACCAGGGGGAGGGGGCGCAGCAGUCAUUCUUCAGAGCCCCCCAUUCACAAUGAGAUGCCUCAAAGAAGCUCUAGUUGUCAGAGACUGUUCUAUGUCUCAUAAAGUGCUCAAGUUAACUAGAUGUUGUCUAAUGUUGUGUUCAAGUUUACUAGUUUAGUUUUUCUUAAAAUGGAUCAAGAAAAAGUGUUUGUUCUUACUCUUGGCUGGAACAACAAAGACACUAGGACUAGGAAUGAGACUGCUUGGCAGUUCUGUACCAUUAAAACUUUUUACAUUGACAAC